GGAAUGCAGUGCUUCAGGAGCCCGGAGAUGAAGUAUGAAAUGCAGUACUACAAAGUGGGUGUCUCUGGAAGCCAGAAAAGGCAAGGAAACAGAACCCCCCAGACCCUCUAGAAAGAAUACAGCACUGCCGGCCCUCAAUUUUAGCCCAGUGUGUCUGGCAUCGGACUCCAAGCUACAAAACACCACAUUUUAUGAGGAAGGCAAAGCCAUCCCACGCAUGGCUACUGUGAUCCCUGCAGUAAUAUCCAAAGGAAAUGAUUGAUGGAGUAGAAGAAGAGAAGACACUAGGACUUGGCUUUUCCUUUUCUCUGGAGUACAAAAGCACAAACAUGGGAUUUCUGUCAGCCAGAAAUCUGCCUCCUUAUAGUGCCUGUUCUGUCAUCUGCACUGGCGUGAUUCACUUAGCUCUCACUGUCUGCUUUGCGUUGCGGUGAGAGAGGCAGGUGGUGAGCGGGGUGCAUACUCAGUGGGUGUUUACCCAGCAUCUCACCACCUGCUGCUCCUUGUCAUUAAUUGAAGAAGAAAGCAGAAGCUACCAGGAAGCAGGGUUGGUGUGGCUCAUCAGGUUGAUGAAGUGGAGGAAACAUGAAGAUCCAGAGGAUGAAAGAAGAUGCCAGGGAUCACAGAAUAACUCCUCCGAACUGAGCAGUGCCCCAAAACUCUUCUGAUGUAAAUUCUUACAAUGUCUAAGGCUGUGUAUACUCAGAAAGUGAAUAGAAAGCCCCCCGAAUUAAUGAGAAGAGAUUUCAUUUUUGCUACAGAAGGAAGAGAAUCAGAGAUUUGAAAAAAGUAGGGGAAAAAAGAUUGUUGAGAAUAUUAAGGAAAAGUAAGAAAUAGUAAAGGACGAGAAGAAUUAAUGUCUGAAAAAGGAAUUAAGGUGUGAUAUAGAAAGUAAAUAUUUCAGUGCAAUUAAGCUCUAUAAUCAGCAGAUAUCAAACAAUAUACAGCUAUAGCCAGCUAUGUAUAUAAACUGAGACAGCUAUCUUGGCUCAUAUACAUUUAAUACAUUAAAAAAUUAUUUAGUACCUUCUGCAACAGUUCAAGUAUAGGGUACACAGCUUGUUGAGUAAGAUAUUUUGAUGAGCUUACUAAGGGGAACAAAAGCAUAUCAGGUGUGUUCCCAGGUUCCCAGGUGAAAAAGGAAGCUAUGCAUCAAAAGCAGUGUGGGGGAGGGUGGGAGAGACCCCAGACCAGCCCUGAGGGUCAAAGGGAGGGUGCGCCUGGCUCUGGACAGACUUUCACAGGACCCUACGCUUCACCAAAGUAUUUGUUAUUUGUUAGUGGUUUUGAUUUACAUACAUUUGUUCGUCUUACCUGUAAAACGUUCAGCAAAUUCUUAACUGCUCACUAAUGACUUUUUAAAAUGGAUUGUUUUCCUGGGAUAUUUAAAGCAUCAUCUAAAGCAAUAUAAUCUAUAAAAAAAGAUCAAAAUUACUUGGAAAAACAAAAGCUUACAACCUCAGCCAAUGUGACUUUUGAAAUUUAGAAAAGCCCCAAGUAUAUAACAAAUAUAUAUAUAUGAAUAUAUAAAUAAACAUAUGGAAAUAUAUAAAUGUGUAUAUGGAAAUAACAAGAACCACUUACCUCUGUUACAUAACUUUUAUUCAUUCGACCAUGAGUUAUUCACUUCCUAGUCUUCAGGAAGCACUGGCGGGAACAGACACUGUUAGACAAUUAAGUUUACUUCAAAUGGGAAAAUGAGGAGCAAUAAAUUCUUACAUAAUCAAAUACUAAAAUAAGUGACUAGACAUUAAAUAUAAUGAAUGUUCUAACAAGAAAAAUGAGGAAAGAACUCAGAAAGGAAGAUGCAACAUAAACCUGAAGUGGAUCUUAAAAGCUGGGGGAAACCUGCCUGGAAGGUAGCAAAGUCAGACAGAGCCCGAUCCUGCACUCAGAGCAUGCCCAGGCUCUGAAGGACUCUCGUGUGGAACGAUUAGGAUGGAUUGAGAAACAGUGGCCCCCUGAGAGCUGGAUGCGGGGGUUAGGCUGCAGUGGAAUGAAUCGGAGAACUCUGAGCCCAGGCAUCUGCCCCCAGGCGUCCUUGGCCAGCGGAGGUGCCCUCUCCUCUGCCUUGUGUCAAGCUGACUGGGCCUUGUCCCAGGCUUGGGUGACGACCUCCUCUGAGAGAGGUGUGGGAAGUGUUUCACCAGCGCUGGGUCAGAGGAGAAGGAACAUGUCAUUCGUCGUUGGCCAUUCUACACACAGUCCCUAGAUUAUGUCAUAGAAAUAAGCAAAAUCUUGCAAUUCUCUCUGAGUGUAAGCUGUCUCCUCUUGGGUCAGAUUUGUGUUUGUUCCCUGCCGUAUUAGUUUCCUAUGGCUGCUCUGAAAAAUCGCCACACACUCAGUGCUUAAAACCACACAAAUCUAUUCUCUUAGAAUCCUGGAUACCAGAAACCCUAAAAUGGUCAGCGAGGCUUUUUCCGCCUGGAGGCUCUGGGGGAGAAUUCAUUUCCUUGCCUUUCCUGCCAUAGAGGCCCCUGCAUUCCUUGGCCCACAGACCCAUCCUCCACCUUCAGAGCCAGGAGCGUAGCCACUUCUGUUCUCCCUGAACCUGAACCUGACCCUCUGCUCCCUCUUAUAAGGAGGAUCCCUGUGAUUACAUUGACUCACCCAGCCAAUUCAGAAUCUCUCCUCAUCUCACUGUUCUUAGUCAUGUCUGCAAAGACCCUUGACCACCUAAGCUAACAGGUCCCAGGGAUGAAAAUUGUUAAAGUAAUUCAACAAGGAAGCUGUAGGGGAGGAUCUCCCCCAUAACAAAAGACAAAUUAACAAGAACAAACAAACAAACAAACAAACAGAAAUUCAACUCUGUACAUACCUCCUAUAUACAUGGGAGAUACACAGGCAAACUAAGUAACUUCCCCAAAUGGCCCAAGCCACCACCUUAAACACCACCUCCAGUUAAGGAC